GCCGGGUUAGCCCGUCGGAAUGGGAGUGGUACGGCGGUAGGCUCGAGACCUACUGGCGGAUGCCCGCCGCGAGAGUUCAAAUCUCUCACCCGGCGCCA
rnacentral:tRNA from 1 species